CAGUAGCCGCGGUAAUACGGAGGGGGCUAGCGUUGUUCGGAAUUACUGGGCGUAAAGCGUACGUAGGCGGCUUUGUAAGUUAGAGGUGAAAGCCUGGAGCUCAACUCCAGAAUUGCCUUUAAGACUGCAUCGCUUGAACGUCGGAGAGGUGAGUGGAAUUCCGAGUGUAGAGGUGAAAUUCGUAGAUAUUCGGAAGAACACCAGUGGCGAAGGCGGCUCACUGGACGACUGUUGACGCUGAGGUACGAAAGCGUGGGGAGCAAACAGGAUUAGAGACCCCGGUAGUCCCUGUCUCUUAUAC
rnacentral:rRNA from 1 species